rnacentral:rRNA from 1 species
UGGGGAAUAUUGCACAAUGGAGGGAACUCUGAUGCAGCGACGCCGCGUGAACGAAGAAGGCUUUCGCGUCGUAAAGUUCUUUUAUAUGGGAAGAUAAUGACGGUGCCAUAAGAAGAAGCCCCGGCUAACUACGUGCCAGCAGCCGCGGUAAUACGUAGGGGGCUAGCGUUGUCCGGAAUCACUGGGCGUAAAGGGUUCGCAGGCGGAAAUGCAAGUCAGGUGUAAAAGGCAGUAGCUUAACUACUGUAAGCAUUUGAAACUGCAUAUCUUGAGAAGAGUAGAGGUAAGUGGAAUUUUUAGUGUAGCGGUGAAAUGCGUAGAUAUUAAAAAGAAUACCGGUGGCGAAGGCGACUUACUGGGCUCAUUCUGACGCUGAGGAACGAAAGCGUGGGUAGCAAACAGG